GAAUGCUGACAUAAGUAACGAUAAAGCGGGUGAAAAGCCCGCUCGCCGGAAGACCAAGGGUUCCUGUCCAACGUUAAUCGGGGCAGGGUGAGUCGACCCCUAAGGCGAGGCCGAAAGGCGUAGUCGAUGGGAAACAGGUUAAUAUUCCUGUACUUGGUGUUACUGCGAAGGGGGGACGGAGAAGGCUAUGUUGGCCGGGCGACGGUUGUCCCGGUUUAAGCGUGUAGGCUGAUUUUCCAGGCAAAUCCGGAGAAUCAAGGCUGAGGCGUGAUGACGAGGCACUACGGUGCUGAAGCAACAAAUGCCCUGCUUCCAGGAAAAGCCUCUAAGCAUCAGGUAACAUCAAAUCGUACCCCAAACCGACACAGGUGGUCAGGUAGAGAAUACCAAGGCGCUUGAGAGAACUCGGGUGAAGGAACUAGGCAAAAUGGUGCCGUAACUUCGGGAGAAGGCACGCUGAUAUGUAGGUGAAGCGACUUGCUCGUGGAGCUGAAAUCAGUCGAAGAUACCAGCUGGCUGCAACUGUUUAUUAAAAACACAGCACUGUGCAAACACGAAAGUGGACGUAUACGGUGUGACGCCUGCCCGGUGCCGGAAGGUUAAUUGAUGGGGUCAGCCGCAAGGCGAAGCUCUUGAUCGAAGCCCCGGUAAACGGCGGCCGUAACUAUAACGGUCCUAAGGUAGCGAAAUUCCUUGUCGGGUAAGUUCCGACCUGCACGAAUGGCGUAAUGAUGGCCAGGCUGUCUCCACCCGAGACUCAGUGAAAUUGAACUCGCUGUGAAGAUGCAGUGUACCCGCGGCAAGACGGAAAGACCCCGUGAACCUUUACUAUAGCUUGACACUGAACAUUGAGCCUUGAUGUGUAGGAUAGGUGGGAGGCUUUGAAGUGUGGACGCCAGUCUGCAUGGAGCCGACCUUGAAAUACCACCCUUUAAUGUUUGAUGUUCUAACGUGGACCCGUGAUCCGGGUUGCGGACAGUGUCUGGUGGGUAGUUUGACUGGGGCGGUCUCCUCCUAAAGAGUAACGGAGGAGCACGAAGGUUGGCUAAUCCUGGUCGGACAUCAGGAGGUUAGUGCAAUGGCAUAAGCCAGCUUGACUGCGAGCGUGACGGCGCGAGCAGGUGCGAAAGCAGGUCAUAGUGAUCCGGUGGUUCUGAAUGGAAGGGCCAUCGCUCAACGGAUAAAAGGUACUCCGGGGAUAACAGGCUGAUACCGCCCAAGAGUUCAUAUCGACGGCGGUGUUUGGCACCUCGAUGUCGGCUCAUCACAUCCUGGGGCUGAAGUAGGUCCCAAGGGUAUGGCUGUUCGCCAUUUAAAGUGGUACGCGAGCUGGGUUUAGAACGUCGUGAGACAGUUCGGUCCCUA
rnacentral:rRNA from 1 species